UAAUUAACGUUUGGUUUGAUUGAAAACACCUAUUAAAUUCUUUAUGAAAAAAUUAAAAAAGAAGAAUCAGAAGAUUUAAUUAUAAAACAAUUAAAAAAUUUUGUUAAGAUUUAAUUUAAAUUUCUAGUAAAUUUUGUGCCAGCAACAGCGGUUAUACAAAAAGAAUUUUUUUUUUUUAAUUUUCUUAAUUAUUUUAAUUAAUUUUAAUUUAAAAAGAAGGUGAAAUUUUUUUUUAAAAUUUAAAAAAUAAAAGAAAAAAUUCUUAAUUAUAAACUAGGAUUAGAUACCCUAUUAUUAAGAAAUAAAUAUUGUUAUUAAAUAAUAAAAUCAAAACAAAAAAUUAUGGCGGUAUCUUAAGCUCUUUAGAGGAAUUUGCUCUUUAAUGGAUAAAACACCUUAACCUUACAUAAGUUAGUUUUAAUUCAGUUUGUAUACCACUAUUUAAACAAAAUAUUAUAUUUUUUGUUUUGAUUUUUAAAAUUAAAAAAAAAGUUAAGUCAAGGUGCAGCUUAAACUUAUGAAUGAAGUGAAUUACAAUUCUUUUUAGAAAAAAAAGUGAAAGAAAAGAAAUAGAAUUUAAAAAUAAAAUUUUAUUAAAAUGAUUAUUUGAAUAAAGUUCUAAGAUAUGUACAUAUCGCCCGUCACUCUUUAUAUUAAGAUAAGUCGUAACAAAGUUAAAAUACUGGAAAGUGUUUU
rnacentral:ncRNA from 1 species